rnacentral:misc_RNA from 1 species
CUAAGGAGCAUCUCCAGUCGAUUGUUCACAGAGGUGAAUGUGUCGCUGGCAGAGCCGUUUUGGACUCACAUGUAGUCCAGCGGAGCUCAUGGGUGGAACACUGACAACUUUCAUCGCAUACGACCGGUCCUCAGUGGCUGGUCGCGGUGGGUAUACCGACACACUAUUGGGUCCUGAAAGAACACGCGAGUGUUUCUUUCCAGGCAAGACAAACGAUCCGUUCGGAUCUCCUCGAAACCGUCUGGCUUUGCCGGCAGGUCUUGGAAGUCGAUUCGAUGCGGGUGUGUUGUUUGAGAACUGCACAGUGGACGCGAGCAUCUUUGUUAGUAAGUGUUUAAGAGCGUAC